rnacentral:rRNA from 1 species
UACAGAGGUCUCAAGCGUUGUUCGGAUUCAUUGGGCGUAAAGGGUGCGUAGGCGGCGCGGUAAGUCGGGUGUGAAAUCUUGGAGCUUAACUCCGAAACUGCAUUCGAUACUGCCGUGCUUGAGGACUGGAGAGGAGACUGGAAUUUACGGUGUAGCGGUGAAAUGCGUAGAUAUCGUAGGGAAGACCAGUGGCGAAGGCGGGUCUCUGGACAGUUCCUGACGCUGAGGCACGAAGGUCAGGGGAGCAAACGGG